UUUAGAAGCACACUCUUGUGC
rnacentral:misc_RNA from 1 species